UACGGGGGGGAGCAAGCGUUGUUCGGAUUUACUGGGCGUAAAGGGCGCGUAGGCGGCGUGACAAGUCACUUGUGAAAUCUCCGGGCUUAACUCGGAAAGGUCAAGUGAUACUGUCGGACUAGAGUACAGAAGGGGCAACUGGAAUUCUCGGUGUAGCGGUGAAAAUGCGUAGAUAUCGAGAGGAACACCUGCGGCGAAGGCGGGUUGCUGGGCUGAUAACUGACGCUGAGGCGCGAAAGCUAGGGGAGCGAACGGG
rnacentral:rRNA from 1 species